rnacentral:rRNA from 1 species
UACGGGAGGCGCAGUAAGGAAUAUUGGACAAUGGACGCAAGUCUGAUCCAGCCAUGCCGCGUGAAGGAUGACUGCCCUCUGGGUUGUAAACUUCUUUUAUAGGAGAAAGUUAUUUUUUUUAGGAUAUUUGACGGUACCCUAUGAAUAAGCACCGGCUAACUCCGUGCCAGCAGCCGCGGUAA